rnacentral:lncRNA from 1 species
UACCAUCACCAUCCCUUCCUUGAACCCUCUGCCCACACCUAUCACCGACAACCCUCCUUCCACAGCGCCGCCGGUUCCAGUCAUAUAUCCACUGCCAACGCCUUCGACCACCUCCCCACCGACUGUGCCGGUCACCAAUCCCACUGUAACCACGCCGUCCACUUUCCCUCCAUCGGCACCAUUCACCAACCUAAACCCGACACCGCCUCCUGCUCAAAUAAUCACAGCUCCAGCUGUGUCCGGCCAGCAAUUCUGGUGCGUGGUCAAG